ensembl:lncRNA LINC00029 long intergenic non-protein coding RNA 29
UGACAACUGACGGCACUGGAGCAGAGAGGCUGACUGCCCGAGGAGACCAGGGAGGCUUGGACCCCAGGCUGGAGGGGGCCGGGGACCCAGACCCACUCACUUGAUUUGGAAGGACACAGGGCUGUCAAACCUAUGCAGGGUCAUCACACCCGGCCCUUCGUUUGUCCCUUUUCGGCCAAGCUCAGGACCCUGUAACCCAGGAAGACAAGCUCGUGGUUCUGAGAUGACCCAGGGAAUUGGCCAAUCCCACCCGAAACCCUUGUUCCUUCCUCUGGUCAUUGACGUUCCUCCCAGACGGCUUCGAGAGCCCCGCAGAUCCUUCCACUACUCCCCAGCCUAGAAGAUCCAGGGACAGAAGCCCUCGAGGUUCUGGCUGGGCCCACGUGCUGAGAUGCCUCUGAGAAAGCUGUCUUUCCAUGGUGGAUCCCGCUGGAUGCCCGUGAACACGGGGCCAGCUUGCAGAGAGCUGGAAGGAGGCCUCCUGGCGGCACCCAGGCCUGACACAGGAUGGCACAGCAGAUGCAACCGUGGGCCUGGGGCCUGGGGUUCCUGGUUGGUGGCCAGGAGAGGCGGCCAGAAGACUCCAUGGCUCCCAGGGCCCAGUCGCAGCUGAGAGGCUCCCCGUCACGAUGGCCAAUAGCCCUUUCUCCAAGGACAAGGAUGGGAUGCUACAUGCCGCUCCUGACGCCGUGGCACGGAAUCACGCUGCGCGUCCCUUGUUUCCGGAUUUCUCUUCUGUGGCUUAUUGAUGGCACUCAAGCACCGCACAGCAAUGACGUCUGUCCUGGCAGGGCACACGCACUCUGCGUCUGAAUGAGUAUUGAGCUAAUUCCAAAGCCCAGCAGAGACGUGGGCGCGCGUUUAUCUGGAGGAGACCAGGCGCGCCAUGGUUGGCUCUGGCCGCGGGACCCUGGGCUGAGCACCGACCCAGGCCACCCCAAGUCACCAAAAGAGGGUAGGGAGGGGUGGACAAAAGUAUUUAUUUUGCCUAUUUUCUUGCCAGUGUCCAGAUUCAAAUGUACUGUUUUUAAACUACAUUAGCACUUUCUGCCCUGUGGCCUGCAAUGAUUGUGCUGUGAUUAUUCAACACCAUAAAUAAUAAUGCAGCAUUUCACCA